rnacentral:lncRNA from 10 species
CCCAACCCUCUCAUGCCUCAUCUGUUAAAGGGGGCUGAUGGGACCAGCAACGAUCCAGAUGGUGGCUGUGCUCUGUCUGCGUGGGUCCCAGAGUGAGAAGCUGAGGUGCCGGCCUUGUUGAACAGGGAGGGCUGCUCUCUGCUCUGGAGAUGGCACUGUGCUCUCAUGUCCACAUUGUGGAAGGCGGAAGGGCGAGAGAGGCUGGGUGACACCUCUUCUGUAAGGAGCUUAACGAG